CUAAACUACUCUUUGAAACUU
rnacentral:tRNA from 1 species